UGUACACUAGGACCCUGGCCAGGAAGAUAUUGGGGUUUCAUAGCUCUCAAGCUACAAAGGCAUCUGCAGUUGGCUCCAGGAAGAGGCUCUGAAAUAGAAGCUUCCAACUAUGUAUUCAUAGGGGACUUGAUUUCUAAAUGAGGAACAGACAACCUGCUGAGAAAUACCUGUGUGUCUCAAAUUGCAAAGCUGGAACAAAAGGGGUUUAGUGAUGCAGAGCAAGGAAAUCCUCAGGAACAGACUAAGGGUUUAAAGUCCAACAAUUCACUCCUGUUUCUCUGCCUGAGCUGAAUUCAACAGAUAAGAAGAAAGUCUUAAUGAUUAAUAAGCCCUCUGGAGCAAGAAAGGGAGUUUAUUUUCAUUUUACAGAUGAAGAAACCGAGGCCCUGAGGGAUCAAAACACCUAUUUGAGGAUGAAGUUGGGAUUCCAUUCCAUGUUUGUGGCAGUAUAAGUGGCAAAAAGACUUUCCGGUAAGUGAUCUGGCAACGUGCAACAGCAGCACAAACCAUUUUCAGGUGUGCAGUAUAGUGAUUCAGCACUUCUAUCCAUCACCUGGUGCUCAUCACAUCCUCAACAAAGGAUCAACCAAAGAUGGGACCAUGGCAGCAGGCUAUCCAGAAGUACUUGGAAAGUUUAUCUCCAGCCCUAAUGAAAGGCUCCUGGAUUCUGUGUGCUCACCCCUGCUGUGGACUUGCUGCAGGACCUCCAGCCAGGAUCAUCAGAUCAUUCACUCUGAGACUGCUGAUUACACAUGCCAGCUGCCAUGUAAUCAGCAGUCCAAUUGAGAAGCCUGCAUGAAAAACACCCAGAUUAAGAGGUACCAUACUAAAAGGAACUGUAUCCAAGGAGCCUCCUGUGAACCUGGACCUGACUUAAAUGAUCUGAGUCUGGAUUUUGAACUGAUGCUGUAAUGGAAAGAGGACUUUAGAAGUCUUGGGAUGGGGCUGCUCCUGUGUUUUCAAGCCCUCCUUUCUGGAACAUGUGAAAGCUUGUUCACAGACUCCUUACAAGCAAGACGCUCUCUCUGAGGAUCCAAGUCUGGAAGCACUUUAUGAGCAACAAUUGGAGAUCUGUCUGUUCUGUUAGUGCAUUCCAUGGGAGUGUUAUACUGUCUGGAAAGAAAAGCUCUGUGCAGACCACUUUUACGUGGACACCACGAAUGGCUUAUGACAAGGGGGCCAUAGUGGUGGACAUGAAGGUUAUGCAUGGGCUCAGCAACAAGGACUUCCACUCACCAAGCCUGACCUGGCUAUCGCUACCACUGAAUGCUCGAUCUGUCAACAGCAGAGACCAACCCUGAAACCCUGAUACAGCACCAUUUCCCAUAGAUAGCUGUGUGGUGGCAGGUUGAUUAUGUUAGACCACUUCCAUCAUGGAAAGGACAGCAUUUUGUUCUCACUGGAAUACAGACCUACUCUGAAUACAGAUUUGCCUUCCCUUGCAUGCAAUGCUUUUGCCAAAACUACCAUCCAUGGAUUCAUACAAAGCCUUAUCCACCAUUAUGGUAUUUCACACAGCAUUAUUUCCCAUCAAAGAACUCACUUCACAGCAAAAGAAGUGCAACAUUGGGUCCUUUCUCAGGGAAUUCACUGGUCUUACUUGUGUUUCCCACUGUCCUGAAGCACAUGGCUUAACAGAAUGGUGGAAUGGCCUUUGGAAGACUUAGUUAUAGUGUCAGCUAGGUAACAAUACCUUGAGGUUCUGGGGCAAGGUUUUCUAGAAGGCCACAUAGGCUCUGAAUCAGUAUCCCAUAUAUGAUGUUGUUUCACCAAUAGCCAAGAUUCACAAGUCCAAGGAUCGAGGGGUAGAAAUAGGAGUGGCACAAUUCACUAUUCCCACUAUUCAACCUCUAGCAGAAUUUUGCUUCUUUUCUCACAACUUUAUUAUCUGCUGACCUAGAGGUCUUAGUUCCAGAAGGAAGAAUCCAGUGGCUUUCACCAGGACAAAGCAAUGAUCCCAUUAAACUGGAAGUUAAGACUGCCACCUGGCAACUUUGGGCUCCUCACAUCUCUAAAUCAACAAGCAAAGAAGGACGUAUGUGAGUGGGAUGACUGAUCCUGAUUACCAAGGGGGAACUGGACUACCACUCCAUAAUGGAGGUAGAAGAGUAUGUCUGGAAUACAGAAGACGCCCUAUGGCAUCUCUGAGUAUUACCAUGACCUGUGAUUAAGAUCAAUGGAAAACUACAACCCCAUCCAGGUAGAACUACUGAUGGUCCAGAACCUUUAGUUAUGAAGGUCUGGGUCACCCUCCCAGGUCAAGAACCAGCUGAAAUACUUGCUGAAGGCAAAGGCAAUAUAGAAUGGAUAGUGGAAGAAGGGCCUGCCUAGAGGACAAGUAUGGCUGGAGAUAUGAAUCUGAGAUUUUAUACAUACACUCAAAAGCUGACACUGUGAGAAGUGAAGCUCCCCGACAAAAGGAUGCCAAAGGAGGUAGAAGAGAAAUAUAGAAGAGGGAAUGUGGGCAACCCAGUGCUGCAGAUGAUCUGCCCAUCCAGAUUCUCCAUCUUCAUGCCUCUGCAUCAUCAAGCUUUUACCUGAUAAGUAUUAUUUUUAUUACCCUUUUCUCUACCUGCCAACAUUGUUUACCUUGAUCAUGUUUCACUUGGAAUCAUUCAAGAGUUCCCUAAGCCUUGCCACCUUCAAUGGUUUGGUCUUCCUAUUGCCUGAUCUUGUCAUGUCCCUCAUUCAAAUGCCUCCCUCCUCAUUCAGCCCAAUUUCCUUACAGCAUUUGUUCCUAUUCAUUCCUUCUACACCUCACCUUGUGUUAUCAUACACCGUAAUAUUCCUGAUUUCCUGUAUUUCUCAGUACCCACCAUGCUUUUUAUACUCUUGUGUUUUUGAUAUUUUCCCUGCCUCAUAUACUAAUCCUCUUUUUGACUAAGCCAUUUUCCUUUAAAAUCUCAGGUCUUAUAAUUGCCAAUGACACGAUAUGAGGAAAGGAAAUUAGAAACACAAUAUUUGGAAAGAAUAUUGUGACCCAGGAAAAUUCAAAAGAAACAACAGAAAAAUUACUACCAGCAGUAAGAGAAUUUCUAUAAGGUAGCAUGGUCUAGUGAGUACCCUGAAAGGUCCAUCAAAUGGGGAAUGGAACAUUUAAAUAAAUUAUGGCACAUCCAUAUAAUAUGAUGGUAUGGUGCUAUAAGAAAGAAUGAGGACACUAUAUUCUGACAUGGAAGUAUUUCUAAGAUACAUCAUUAAAUUUAAAAAGCAAGUUGCAGAACAAUGUGUAUAGUGUACCUCUUUGUGUAAUGGAGGGGGAGGGAAAAACAUGUUGUGUAAGGGAACUCUUGAAUAACAACAAGGAACUACAAAAGUUUUUGCUUUUGGACAAGGAUGGGGAAGAGGGUUGGAAGUAGACAGUGGUCAGUAUGGGAGCAAAACUGCCCACUGUGUACUCUAAUGUUGUUGAGUUUUGAGUUCUGUGAAUUUAACACCUGUGAAUUUAACACCUGUGCAAAAGACAGAUACCUAAAAGAAAAUAAAAAACAAAACCUCAGGCAUUACCUCUAUUCUUCUAGGUCUCCUUAAUACGAGAGGAUGUCUAGUAAGGUGGCUAAGAACAGAGGCUUGGCACCAGGCCCACCUGGAUUUAAUCCUGUAACUGCACUCACCAGGUUUUUGGCCUUAGGAAAGUCCUGUAUCCUGAGUCUCCAUUCUCCUCCUUUAUAAUUUGGGAAUGGCAAUCCUCAAAACAAUCCUUUUAGAUGAAUAUCAAGUGCGAUAAUAUUUGUAAUGUAAUUAACACAGUAAUUUACAUACAACUAGCACCUGGUGUUUCAUACAUACACGUGAGAAAUAUAUAUCUAUAGGUAUAUAUACACAUAUAUACAUACAACUCACAUAUAAAUACAUACAUAUAUGUCCAUAUUAACAUACGCACUUGUAUAUAUACCUAUAUAUGUGUGCGUGCCUAACACACUGCAUUGAAAUGAUCCGUUUCUAUUUCUCUCUGCCAAAACUCUCCUUGUUCCCAUCCCCAUAGAUUUCUAUGAUUUAUUAAUAUUUUUAUCUCCACUACUGGCUUAUUUAGGUGCUCAAGAAAUAUUUGUUAAAUUGUUGAUGAACUAAGCAUGGUCAGCUCUUAAGACUCUGAACAGAGGGGGAAGAAAACCAACAGAAAUACUCUGAAAAAUUUCAGUCGAGUCAUCUAACUCCUAAGAUGUCUGUUGUGCUUGUGGCCUGACCAACCUCCUUGAAGAUCUUAAAGCAUUUCCAAGAGAAACACAGUUUAUGCUACCCAGCAUCCCCUCAGACAUUUUCUCCAGCAAAGAUUAAGUCAGAUUCUCCUGUAAUUUCUGAUCUCCAGGCAAGAUACCACUUCAUACAUUUCUUCUUUCCUGUGCAAUCCCUUCUUUUCAUGCUUACUGAAGAAAAUGAGUGACUGAAGGAGGCCAUGUGUCAUCGGUCUGCUGUUCCUAUUUCUUGUACUUUUGUGUAACUGCCUACCGGGCAUUUCCACCAGGGUGUGGGCGCCUCAAAGUCAACAUCCAAAACUGCACUCACCUCCCUGGACUCUCAUAGAUGCCUCAUCUCAGCAUAUGACCCUCCAUCUACUUGGUUUCCUGGGCUCCUCUCAAUUCUAAGUUCUACGGGACCAUUUCAGUCUUGGUUAGCACUAGCACGGUUGUUGAUUUGAAGAGAAGCAUCAUUUGGUUGCCCUUAGAAGCAUUUAGUUAUAGCUGGCAACGGAGAAGCAGAGGCAAAAAGACCCAGACACAUGAAGAACUACUGAGAAGAGCUGACUCGAGGGAGGAAAUUCUUUGAACAAAUAUUUGUUAGUUGCCUACCAUGUCUGUUUUGUUCAUUGCUGUAUCCUCAGUGCCUGGGACAAACUUUCUGUUCUGAAAAGGUUUGGAUUCUAAUAAAGGAGCCAAUUAAUA